rnacentral:lncRNA from 10 species
CCGAAACAUCUUCACAGACUAGACAAUGUCCAAAUGGUUUUUCAAUCUACAAAGAAUUCACUACCCUCUAAUAAAGCCCAUCAUGAAAGUUAUUCUACAUAUUGGAGUGAAAAUUGUUUAUAAAUGACGUGGAAUUACUCCACUAUUAAUUUAUAAUGUUACUAUAUUCAUUUUUAGCAACCACAUCACAUUAUUCACUCAUACUGAGUUGCUAACUUUUUCCUUGAUCCCUUGUACUGAUGUGAGGUCAUGUCUCCUUAUUCUGGUUUGGGUUGUUAUUAUUAUUUUUCUGUAUACAUUGAGUAAUUUUCACUUUUCUUUAAAGGUUAUCUUGUUAAAUUUGAUCCAGAAUUCCAAGAGCUCAAGAAAAGUUCAACUAUAGUGCAAUUUCUUGAAGUAAUCAGGAUGGAGAAGAUGGUGGUACAGCAAGG